ACCGUGUAUAAAUCAGAUUGUCUAGUAUAAAAUAAACAGGUAGGAUGUGACCGUGCAAAAAUCAGAUUGUCUUAUGCAGUAUAAAAUAAAAAGGAAGGAUGUGACCGUGCAAAAAUCAGAUUGUCUUAUGUAUUAUAAAAUAAACAGGUAGGAUGUGACCGUGCAAAAUUCAGAUGGUCAUAUGUAGUAAUAAACAGGUAGGAUGUGACCGUGCAAAAAUCAGAUUGUCUUAUGUAGUAUAAAAUAAACAGGUACAAUGUGACCUUGCAAAAAUCAGAUUGUCAUAUGUAGUAUAAAAUAAACAGGUAGGAUGUGACCGUGUAUAAAUCAGAUUGUCUAGUAUAAAAUAAACAGGUAGGAUGUGACCGUGCAUAAAUCAGAUUGUCUUAUGCAGUAUAAAAUAAAAAGGAAGGAUGUGACCGUGCAUAAAUCAGAUUGUCUUAUGUAGUAUAAAAUAAACAGGUAGGAUGUGACCAUGCAUACAUUUAGAUUGUCUUAUAUAGUAUAAAAUAAACAGGUACAAUGUGACCAUGCAAAAAUCAGAUUGUCAUAUGUAGUAUAAAAUAAACAGGUAGGAUGUGACCGAGCAAAAAUCAGAUUGUUUUAUGUAGUAUAAAAUAAACAGGUACACUCUUAAAAUGAAUGUGUUAAAUUAACACAUCUUGUGUCUAGUUAAGGACAACACAUCUAGUGUGUUGUCCUUAACUUAACACAUCUCUGUGUUAUUUUUGGAAUAACACACUUUGUGUUGUUUUAACUAGGCCUGGGGCGGUAACCGGAUUACCGCCAUACCGCGGUCACGUGACCCAUGCCGCGGAUCUGAGCUCCUCACCGUCAUAACCGCAAAAAAACAUUGGCCUGCAAUUGUGUGUAAAUAUGGGGAUGUUAUACACGCAGCUUUUAAACAACCGCAGCUUGUUAACAGAACAUUAACAGUUAACUGAUAUGAUUUUAACAUUAAAUUGUCAUUGAGUAGAAAUACAGGUGACGUUGUCUGUGCCUCGGUAAAAGCAAUACAAACAUUUUAUUUAAUUUGAACAUGCAAACAGCCGCAACAGAUCAACAACAGAAUCAGGUUUCAUAGAUUAUUAAAUUGUCACGCAACAUAAAGAGCACGCGAUCAGUCCGAGGAUUAAUAUCCAGUUAAAUUGUCUCUUUUUCAUCUAGCCUACCUCACAGGCGCGGAGCUAUGGGCGGGCCCACGGGCCUGGGCCCGCCCAGAUUGACAGCUGGCCUGCCCAAUCAGAAAUGUAAAAAAAUACUACUCUGUAUAGUUAGACAUGGAUACUACUUCAUAUGGUGUAUUUUAUCUAUUGCAUGUUUUGUUAAAAACAGUACAAUUAUAAGUAAGCCUGAUAACUAUUUAAAAACUAUUAUAAAGCAAUUGAAUGUUGCGUUACAGUAUGAUUCUAAUGAGAAAAAUAUUCCCGAGAACUUUUUUUGCAAGCAAGUGGAAAACGUAUUUUGAAUAACAACACGUUAUGAAUAUGUGCUGCGCGCUUUCCUCUCAAUAACAUAAACAAACAACAAAUAUGACAGCGGGGUAAAAAAUAGAAAGAAAAGAUCUGAUCACAGUGAUGUUGUUUGAUAUACCCUACCAGCUCUCUAACUCAGCACUAUAAGUCACGCCACGUUUAUUGCUACACUUUAUACAAUAUAGCCUAUUGCUUUUAAGCAACAAAUAGCCUAUCAUAACAACCUAUAAGCCUACUGUGUAAUUGAGACAUUAAUUUAAGAAAUGCAUUAAAAGCAGAAAGACGUAGGCUGCGGAAAUAUAGUGGGUUCACUUCAAUCCACACCACAGACGUUCUUGGUUUGCUUCUUAUUUAUUAAA